rnacentral:sRNA from 1 species
AGGAAAGUUACUAAAGGUCACUGAGCCUUAGUUCCUCAUCUGUAAGAUGGGAAGAAGAUUAUUAGGAAAAUUAAGUGGAAGCAAUAAUAAUAUCAGCUGUUGCCUCUGGGGCUGUGCUUGCCUGCGAGUCACACCAGGCUGCAGAUGACAGGAAACACAGUGAGAGCUGGAGUUGCUGCUGACUGGGUGCCCCUCCAUUCCAGCAAUUCCCUUUCUGUUUGAUGUCCGUGAACAUCACCCACAUCGCCAUCCAGGCCUUGAGAGAGGAGUGUCUCUCCAGAGAGUGUAAUCGGCAGCAGAAGGUCAUCCCCGUGGUGAACAGCUUCUAUGCCGCCACAUUCCUCCACCUCGCACAUGUCUGGAGGACACAGCGGAAGACCAUCUCAGACUCGGGCUUUGUCCUCAAAGGUGUGCUCUUUCUUCUGGGGAGGCCUAGGCUGAAUGCACAGUGUCCCAGGUCCAGAGAGCCCAAGGUGGUUGCUAGACUGGUUUUGGCUGCGGUUCUUCCCCAUCCACACUUUCUCAAAUUCCAGCUUACCAAAAUCUCCAUCACCCACCCCCUGGAGUCUGCUAGUUCUCCUUUCUCUGCCCUGACUGUCACCCUUUUCUGGUCUUAUACUUAUGACAAGCAUAUAAUCUGAUCAAAAAUUGGGAGCCAGGGUCCAAUAGUUGGACUAUUCAAAGUUGCAAUUGUGCAGACAAGGUAGAGUGUGUGGUCCCUGUGGCUGUACCUGGCUCCCCAGCCUACCUCUCUGGUGAUCUCUCCAUCUGAGGCUCCUUCACUUUCUCUUCAUGGG